rnacentral:rRNA from 1 species
UAAGACGGAGGGUGCAAGCGUUGCUCGGAAUCACUGGGCGUAAAGGGUGCGUAGGCGGUCUCGCAAGUCUGGCGUGAAAGCCCAAGGCUCAGCCUUGGAAGUGCGCUCGAAACGGCGAGGCUGGAGUGCCGGAGGGGAGAGUGGAAUUCCCGGUGUAGCGGUGAAAUGCGUAGAGAUCGGGAGGAAUACCGGUGGCGAAAGCGACUCUCUGGACGGCAACUGACGCUGAGGCACGAAAGCGUGGGGAGCAAACAGGAUUAGAUACCCUGGUAGUCCACGCCGUAAACGAUGGACACUAGGUGUCGGGGGUAUCCACUCCCUCGGUGCCGCCGCUAACGCAGUAAGUGUCCCGCCUGGGAAGUACGGUCGCAAGAUUA